rnacentral:lncRNA from 1 species
UUUUUAAGUGGCACGCCAUCAUUUAUUUACAGAGAAAGGUAUCACUUUAACAAAAUCAGGAGUCCUUCGGGGGCAGAUUAUUCUGUAAUACCACUUUCAUUAUCAGAGAACUCUCGAUACAAAGUGUUCUACAAAACUACAAGAAGAAUCAGGCUAGCCUUUUAAGGACAUCAUCAAAAAUCAGGCCUACCCAAUAAAGGCAGAGGCAGAGCUCUAUAAAAUUUGGUGAAUCCAGGACCACUUAAACAAGUCAGACAUAUAGAUGAUGGAAGACAUGGGACGUGAAUUUCUUUUGCUGGCUUUCUCAUUCCUCCUAUUCUAUCACUUAAAGCAUUUACCUGCCAGCCCCCAACAUCCCAGAUCUCUCCCCACUACCCUUGGAGAGCUCAUUUCUUCUCCUGGCUCCAAAUCUUGCCCCUGUAGACACCUAUCCCUUAUCUCUGUCUGCCACUUAGAUAUAGCACCAUCACCUUCAACUUAGUAGGUUGAGAAUUGAAGCUCUCUCCCAGGAGAGCACCAGUUCCACGUCACCAACUGGGUGUUAGUGAUGCUGCUAAGUUUUCUAGUCACUCAGGUUUGUGACCUUGGACUUGCUGCCUCCUUUUUGGUCCCUCUGACAGUUUUGGUCUUUGUGUAUCAGCAAUGACAGGUCCUCACUCUUACCACAAAGCGCAAGUCAGCUUGGCCUCUCAAGUGGAGAGAUAAUCGUUCUAUAGCAAGAAGUACAAAGAUUCUCUGCAGACAAAACCAGCUAGCCAAGGUUCCACAACAUGUGUACACGUAUAAGUCUGAUGGAUCAGAAGAAAUAUGUACCCGGGAAUCAGAUGUAGCCAGCCCACAUACUAACAAACAUCAAAGCAAGCCUAGUCAGAUUGAGUCCCAUUUGAACAAUCUUUAUAAAGGUUUCUUCAUGUUAUUUACAAUUCAAAGUAAAUUUACUUUAUAAGCAGCUAGG